rnacentral:sRNA from 1 species
AUAAAACGGAAGUUGUGAAACUUCUUUUAGAAUAGUUUAGUUAAGUCUAGUUUAGUUUUUGUGUUGUGAUACUCCUGCUGAAAGUGUUCAGCGGGAGUAUCUUUUUU